CCAGACUCCUACGGGAGGCAGCAGUGGGGAAUAUUGCACAAUGGGGGAAACCCUGAUGCAGCGACGCCGCGUGAGCGAUGAAGUAUUUCGGUAUGUAAAGCUCUAUCAGCAGGGAAGAAAAUGACGGUACCUGACUAAGAAGCCCCGGCUAACUACGUGCCAGCAGCCGCGGUAAUACGUAGGGGGCAAGCGUUAUCCGGAUUUACUGGGUGUAAAGGGAGCGUAGACGGCGGUGCAAGCCAGAUGUGAAAGCCCGGGGCUCAACCCCGGGACUGCAUUUGGAACUGUGCUGCUAGAGUGUCGGAGAGGCAGGCGGAAUUCCUAGUGUAGCGGUGAAAUGCGUAGAUAUUAGGAGGAACACCAGUGGCGAAGGCGGUCUGCUGGACAGCAACUGACGCUGAGGCGCGAAAGCGUGGGGAGCAAACAGGAUUAGAUACCCCUGUAA
rnacentral:rRNA from 1 species